rnacentral:lncRNA from 1 species
GCGGCUCCGCCCUCGGCGUGUCCCGGGCGCGGCGGGCUGAGCGCGGUGCUGGCCCCGCUCUGCUGGCCCUGCUCUGCCCCUCUGCUCGGCCCCUGCUCGGCGCCUCCGCCCGGCCUCACGCUGCGAGGGAGCCGCGCACCGGCGGCGAUGUCAGUUUACUGUUAGUAAUUACUUUUGCCUGUGGCCACAUGAGGAAUGUUGGGAAGAAUACUGAAAUCCUGAAUUCAGAGCUGGUGGAAGGGUACUCAUCCCUCACCCCCAAGAUGGGCUUUACAUGAUUACAUGUGAUGGAAAACCCUGAAACACAAACUCACCUGUAAUGUGAUAUUAAAGUAACGUGGAGGGAGGCAAGAGACGUUUACUGUGAGCCCCUUGCUGCAGUGCCUUGUGAUCCACGUUCCCAGGUGGGCCGGGCUGUCUCCUGGAGCUCCUAAACAGGGAGGUGGCUGCGGGCUGGGUGCGUUGUUGUUGUCGGGAGCAGCUCCUGCCGUGUGACUGCCGCCAGGCCUGGGCAGGUGCUGGGGAGGGCUGUGCACGUUGGUGCUGGGAGGCUGAGCCGUGUGGCCUCUGCGUUCAU